rnacentral:rRNA from 1 species
UACGUAGGGUGCAAGCGUUGUCCGGAAUUAUUGGGCGUAAAGAGCGUGUAGGCGGCUUCACAGGUCUGCUGUGAAAACUCGAGGCUCAACCUCGAGCUGUCGGUGGAAACCGUGGGGCUAGAGUCCGGAAGAGGAGAGUGGAAUUCCCGGUGUAGCGGUGAAAUGCGUAGAUAUCUGGAGGAACACCGGUGGCGAAGGCGGCAUCCUGGACCAACACUGACGCUGAGGAGCGAAAGCCAGGGGAGCAAACGGGG